rnacentral:rRNA from 1 species
CAGUCGCCGCGGGAAUACGGAGGGUGCAAGCGUUACUCGGAAUCACUGGGCGUAAAGGACGCGUAGGCGGAUUAUCAAGUCUCUUGUGAAAUCUAACGGCUUAACCGUUAAACUGCUUGGGAAACUGAUAACCUAGAGUAAGGGAGAGGCAGAUGGAAUUCUUGGUGUAGGGGUAAAAUCCGUAGAUAUCAAGAAGAAUACCUAUUGCGAAGGCGAUCUGCUGGAACUUAACUGACGCUAAUGCGUGAAAGCGUGGGGAGCAAACAGGAUUAGAUACCCCCGUAGUCCCUGUCUCUUAUAC